AAAUAUAAAUUUUUGAUUGACUUAUGCCUCUAACUUUUAUAUCAAUAGUCAUAAUAUAUUACUUUGUGACUAAUCAAAUAAUUUCUCCAUGUAUUUCCAAUCGAAAGCCAGAGGCUUUUAAAAAUACCGAAAUCCACUCAAGGGUUUAAUUUCUCCCAACAAAUAAUCCUAUGCACCAAUCAAAGAUGGAAUACAUAAUCACAUACUUAAGAAACUGUUUGAUAAUUAAUAGGUUACUUUUAUUGCUGAAAUAUGACAUAUACUGUUCCACACAUUCACCAGAUCGUUACAUACGAUCACUGCACUUUAUUUUUCUAUAAUAAAACAUAGUAUUUAUUUUUCUAUAAUAAAACAUAAAAUAAUAAUCUUCCGCCACUUGCUACAUAUUGUAUCCAGAUCUAACGACUUAAAAAUAUGUCUGAUACAUGAAUACAAAAAAAUAUUUGACUGUAGUGAAUCUAAUUUGGUUGCGUUCUUUGCUGCUUAUUUAUAUAUUGCUUUUUGGUGUGAAUUAAUGGGAUUAAUUAUGGUUUAUAUACUCAGGAAAGUGGAGUUAGGGACUAAGAUGGAUG
rnacentral:lncRNA from 1 species